CAUCGGUCUAGUUAAUAUAUAUAUACGUCAUUGAGAUAAACACUCAUUUCAGUUCUAUUUGGUUCACUAAGCGACUGGUUAAUUGUGUCUGUUUGGAAAGGGAGGUCACUCUGCGAUAACUUUAAAGAUCGAAAUAGAAAUCCUGGAGCGGAUGUGAGUUGCGAGGAUGCCCAGAGGAUGCAAAGAGGAUACAGUGGACGUUUAACGGAUGAUAACGGACAUGGAACGUUUGGUGCUCGUAUAUGUUGUGCAUUUACAUCGUACAUGGCAGAAAGUUCGUCCGUUAUAAAAGUUUUGUGCAGCUCAAAAGUUUUUGCGCGGAUGAAAUCAAAGUGAACGGAUGCUCGAUGGAUAGAGCGUAUGAAACACCCCGUACCGAAAUGAAGUGUACACUUCCUCCGAAGUGUUCAUUUCCAACACACUUCUAUAGACACUCGAUUGAAACAAAUAAGUGAAUGUACUGAAAUAUGGCGUCUGUCUAAAAAUAGGUCAUUAGCGGGGUUCGCUCUUCACGGAGUCCAAGUACUAGAUACGCAGCUUAUUAUUGCGAUAUCCCCCCUUUCUGUAUCGAGGAAAUGUAAUCCUGUAUUCAUUAUUUACACAUAAUAAUUAAUCAUAUUGGUGGUUAUUCGCUGUUUCGCUUCGUCUAAAGUCCAGUGGUACGGAACUCGUAUUAUUUGACGGGGAUAUGGCCGGGUAUUUAAAUUAAAAAUAUUGGUCUUACAAUACAAAAUUCCAGAUGUCAUAUUACGUAUCACUGAAAAGCACAUUCUUUGCACUUUUCAAAUAUGUAAAUUAUUUUUUGGCACAUUUAUUUUUAUUUACUUUGAAAAACAAUCAAUGUUGGAUGGUACUAAAAUCUAUUACCAUGUUUACGCAGAGGUGGUGUGUUGUUGUCCACCAACAUGGCGGCGUCCUGUAUCUAGGUCAUGUAUCGGAUACCGGUACGCUCUAUAUAUAGGCAUAGACUAUAAUCAAAAUGGCCGAAGAGAAUUGAAUGUUUUGAUAGUUGAAUUUGAUUAGGACCUAAUGUGGCUUUGAACACACGGCAUGCAAGCAUGCCUGCCUUAUUUGACAUUAUAUUAUUUCAAAUUAUACUGCCACCAUGGGCCGUAGGCGUUAUAUAGCGAUUAGCGACGAUUCCCGAAUGAUCGAGAUUUACGGUCGGCAUUUCUUUUAUCAGGCUAACGCUUCAAAAUGUACACAAGUGAAUGACGAGUCUUAUGUAAAGCUAAUCUUACAAAUAAACUUGCUAUUUCUAUCAAUGUUUCAGGUACCUAUAAUAACAGACCAUCAUGUGUAGGCUACACGGUAAAAGUAAAAGUAAAUUUGCUGGAAAUUUGGUAAUCCUUGUAAGACUUGAUGUGUUGUGUAGGCUGCACGGUGCCGGUACAUAUUUAAAAUAUUUCAUUCAAUACCCGGUACGGUAUUUUAAAAGACCAAAGCCACCAAUAAUACUCAAUAAGCAAUACAUGUAGUUUUACAUCUGACUGUCAUAAAAUUUUGUAAAUGUAUAUGAUAGCCUAAUAUUGCUGUGAUAUUUAAGCAAAACUUUAUUAAUAUAACCAAAUAAUAAACUGGAUCUUAGUAAAGCAUCUAAAGAAUGGGCUAAUGUAAAGCAAAUUAAGAUUUGGCAAAUAAAAAUUCCAUUUGGCCAUAAAAUAUAUAAACAAUUUUGCAUGUGAAAGUGAUAGCUAUAAAUUGCUAUAUCCUAUGUUUACAAUAUUAUGCUGCUGACAUUUUAUUGUUGUUGAAAUGAGUUAGUGCAUAUUGCUUUAAGCGCUGGACGCAGUAGCCGAAUGAUUCUGCCGAAUGAAUCCGCGCUUAAUGAUUCGCGAAUCAAACAUGUUUGAUAUAUUUGCCCGAAUUAUAUUUAAUCACCAAUCAUAUCGAGAAGUCACGUGAUUGUUUGAAGACAUGGUUGCUGCCAUGUUUAAUCAUGCGAUGUCAAAGGUGAUGCAAUCGACUUGUGAAUCAGGUGAGAGUAUGCCCACUUAUUUGGCCGAAUGAUUCAGCUAGUGUAUCCACGACAGACCUUGUGAUUUCAUGUGCACACAUUAAGCACAAAACCAUUCAACCCCCACAUUGAAAAAAUGAAAUGAAAUGGGGUUUAACAUCCUACUAUUCUGCUCCUAUGCUGGGCUAAUGAAGACGGCAUACGCCAUACAGUGUGCUAUGAGGGAAAUUUUGCCCGGGCAGCGGGACUAUCGCCUACUCUUAUAUCGAAUUCCAACUGCCAAGGGAUCUUUUACGUGCAUUCUAAUGUAUACACGGGACCUCAGUUUUUCGUCUUAUCCGAAGGACUAGACAGCUGUCCUUGUCAGUCCCUCCGUGCUGCAUCACUGGCAAGGGGGAACCACGCCGGAAAAUCUCAAUGAACUUUCUCGGCCAAUGCAGGGAUCGAACCCCCGACCUCCAGGCUAGCGAGCCAGCGUCUUACUCACUUAGCCACGUGACCCCCUCCCACAUUGAAAAGAAAAGACACAAGCAAAGAACUAAAUGUUAGCCCAGAAGUUACCUGGUUUGUGUUGAGUGGACAUUAAACCCCAUUUUUCUCACUAUCUCAUAUACAAACACAAAAUGUGCUGUGGGAAAUUUUACCUUGACAGCUGCCAUAUGACCUACUCUUAUAUCAAAUUAAAACUGCCAUGGAUUCUUUUACAUGCUGGUUUCGAUUCGCUGUAUUAUAAAGUCUGUCAUUGAGUCAACUGGCGUGGUUUCAAUUCCCCGGCUGUACAAGACAAGGAGUAGGGUCGCCUGUCCAACCUCGUGGGUUUUCUCCGGGUCCUCCGGUUUCCUCCCACUGCUAAAGACCCCUACACGCAAGCGAAUUAUUGAAAUAAAAUUAUACCAUAUGAAAGGCCCCAAAUGACCUAGUUUGUAUCGACUGGACAUUAAACCCCAUUUCUCUCUCUCUCGGUCAGACAAUUUGGGAGAAUGCACAGACAGCGGUGCUAUAUGAACAGUAUGAACAACUAGAUGCUGUUUCUUGCCAGGACCCUUGUCCGACACCACUGUCAAUGGUAAAUUAUUCCGGAAAUCCUGAGUAAUUUUGUUGACAUGCCGGGAUCCAACCUGGGAUAAUUGAAGCAUUUAUUCUUAACACAAAAGAAUUACUCAUGCUCUUAUUAUCAAAAAACGUUCAAAAAAGACACCCAUUACAUAUGCCAUACAGUGUGCAAUGAGGCACUAAGGCCUUACAUGUAUCUUAUUUCAAAAUCCAACUGUCCAACUUUUACAUACACGCCAAUGUGCAUGUGUGAUGUCGGUUUUUUUUUGUUGUGCCAUCCGCACGACUAUACAACUGUUUCCUCCUGGUCCCCAUGGUUUUCUCCCACUACAAAAGACCCCUACAGCCAAAUAAUUGAAAAAAAAUUGAUCCAUGUGUUAGUCCUGCUAUGGCGUAGUUUGUGUAGAGUGGACAUUAAACUUCAUUUCUCUCCCUUCUUGCCAGGCCCUAUGUCCUGCACCACUGGAAAGGGGGAACCAAGGCGUAAAAUCUAGAAGAGCUUUCCUGGGCAAUGACAGGAUCGAACACGGGACGACUCGGAUAGUGUGCCAACAUCUCACUCACUGAGGGGGGGUGGAUGACCGUAUGGGUAGCACGUGCUCACUGUAUUAUAAAGUCUGUCAUUGAGUCAACUGGCAUGGUUUCGAUUCCCUGGCUGUACAAGACAAGGAGUAGGGUCGCCUGUCCAACCUUGUGGGUUUUCUCCGGGUCCUCCGAUUUCCUCCCACUGCUAAAGACCCCUAAGCGGAAGCGAAGUAUUGAAAUAAAAUUGAACCAUAUGUUAGUACCGAAAUGCCCUAGUUUGUGUCGAGUGGACAUUAAACCCCAUUUCUCUCUCUCACUCACUGAGCCACAGUGUCUCCCAAUAUCAAGCAAGAAUUUUCUUUGAUCUGACAAGCUGGAUUAUAUUCAAUAUACAUGUAAGAACCAGAAUUGUUUUAAUUUGAGACAAUUUUUUUAGAUGUGGUUUAAAAUUAUAUUACAUUCAUUAAAGUGAAAAGAAAUUGUACGACAUGUACUUGUAAAGUUGUUUGAUAUAUACAGUUUCAAAACAAAUUUGGUUUUGUAAAACAAAAAGUUACUGUAGGCCCUAUUGAAAUUUUCUCUUUCAGUAUUUGACCAAAUUUGUUAUUGAUGCCGACAAAAUUUGGUUUUGAUACCAUAAAUUAACCUUCCAAUACACCUAUGUAAACUUUUGAUAAUACCGGGGGUGGGUUUUGGAUGGCUGAAUGGUUAGCGUGAGUGCGUUGUAUCGUAAGGUCUGUUAUUGAGUCAACUGGCAUGGUUUUGAUUCCCCUGUUACGUGACUAGGAGUAGUCGCCUGUCCAACCUUGUGGGUUUUGUCCGGGUCCUCCGGUUUCCUCCCACUGCUAAAGACCCGUAUGUGCAUGCGCAAAUUUUUGAAAUAAAAUUGAACCAUAUGUUAGUCUCAAAAAGACAUUAAGUAGGUCUGUAGUCUAUAUUAAAAUUGCGAGAAUCUGUCAUUUAAAAAAAACAGUCCUAGGCCUAAGUAGGCCCUGAAAUGAAAUGAAAUAGGGUUUAACGUCCUACUGUUCUGCUCCUGGUUUUGAUUCCCCAGUUACGUGAAGAGGAGUAGUCGCCUGUCCAACCUUGUGGGUUUUCUCCGGGUCCUCCGGUUUCCUCCAACUGCUAAAGACCCCUACGUGCAUGCGCAAAUUAUUGAAAUAAAAUUGAACCAUAUGUUAGUCUCAAAAAGACAUUAAGUAGGUCUGUAGUCUAUAUUGAAAUUGCGAGAAUCUGGCAUUAAAAUAAAAAACAGUCCUAGGCCUGCGUAGGCCCAGAAAUGAAAUGAAAUGGGUUUCACAUCCUACUGUUCUGCUCCAGGUUUUGAUUCCCCAGUUACGUGAACUAGAUCUAUGCAGAGAAUUGAUUUAUUCAUUUCAUUUUCAUGGCAUAUCAUUGCCAUUGUGAUUGUCGAAUUGAGGCGCCAUGGGUGUGUGGACGAGUUGACCUAUGCCGUGUCAACGACUAACCAGUGUACAUGUAUUUUAAUAUUUGUGGACUACAUAACUAGACUUUUUGUGUGGACGAGUUAACUGGCAUUCAUUUUGAAUGAUUACAGUUGAUUUCGGUAAAUUUAAACUGUGGUACACUGUAUUGGUACUUGAAAAAAGGUGAAUUUAUUUCGUCUUUAUUUUUUUUUUCAGAGGUUGUAAAUUAAUAAUCCACCAGUGCAGUAUGUGAAAAAUGUGUCUAGACAAGAUGAAAAAUUCCAAUUUUAAAGUAAAGAAUUCAAAGACGUGUAUGACAUGAUGCGAAACACUCAUUACCUUAUGCAUGUAUGGUGAGCUUGUGACCCGGAUGGAUGAAUGAUGGAAAGACACAUAAGUGCUGUAUACAGUAUUUGGUAUAAAUCAGUCAUUGAAAGUCAUUACAGCUGAAGAUUUUAAUGACGCUCUGUACUGGUACUAACAAUGUUGAUUACAGUCAAUGGAAGGUUAAUCAAACCAGAAUAACAGCACCUAUGAAUGUGGUCGAAUAAGGUGUGGAGGUGAUUAAUAGCAACAUUGAAUGUGGGUUGAAUAUGGUGUGUUAAAGAUGCAAGAAAACACACGAAAUGUGUAAACUGUAAUGGAUUAUAGCCUGGCGCUAUCCAAAUUACAAAACACCUGCCCUUGAGUCUAUAAUUAUUUAUUUUUUAUGGCACCCACAUUUUCAUGUCGCUGCCUCUGUUCGUCCAGAUGUACCUCCGGUGAAAUUUGUUUGUGGUCACAAUUAUCCGAUUUUAAUGAAAUUUAAAUGUAUAUUUAUAUUCAAAUCAUCUGGGAUCAGAUUCAUUUUGAACUCUAACCUCAUGGAUUAUGGCCCCUUAUAUUGUGGUAAAUUGGGUUUUUAGCAUGUGGGCCCAUCCAGAGGAUUUUGGCAUAGAAUAUUACACCUGAUUGUACGAUCCAUUGUUUUUAACUUCUGGAUCCUCUAGAAUUCGCAGUUUUAUAUGCCAACAUUUCCCAUGCCUGAAUUAACCCCUCUUUGCUGAAGAUUUGACUUUCGAGUUCAGAGUUAUGCCCCAUAGCCAAAAACUUUGAAUUUGAUAGGAGUUACAGUUUUUAACCGGUCCUUUUCAGAUUUGGUGUGAAGCAUUGGAUUCAUGAGAUCACAAACCCCAACGAUAUGCAGUGAUUAGAAGAUAACCUUUUCAAAAAAGCUUGUGAGUGUGAUGAGGCUACAAUUUAUUAAUUUGCCGUGUAGCUUUGGCACCAUGAGAGGACAAAUCCAAUAAAUUUCAGCAAUCCACACUUAACCCACUUUUUUGGAAACCAUGUGAACGUGAUAAAGCUACAAUUUUUUUAACAGAUUUUUUUCUAAUUCUAUAUGAAACAUUGGGACAAUGAGUGGAUUAGCCUUAUUUAUAUUCCUUAUUCUCUUUUGCAAUAUGUGGGUGUAUCUUAGAUGGCAACCACUUGUUAAUUGUAUCAAUUGUGUUGUAAUAUUUUGAAAACAAUAAUAAAUAUCAAAGUGUUA